GGCAGAGUGGACAGUGAGAGAGAGAGAGACAGAGAGAAAGGUCUUCCUUUGCCGUUGGUUCACCAUCCAAUGGCCGCCGCGGCCAGCGCGCUGUGGCCGGCGCACCGCAGCCAGCGCACCGCACUGAUCCGAUGGCAGGAGCCAGGAGCCAGGUGCUUCUCCUGGUCUCCCACUGGGUGCAGGGCCCAAGCACUUGGGCCAUCCUCCACUGCCUUCCCGGGCCACAGCAGAGAGCUGGCCUGGAAGAGGGGCAACCGGGACAGAAUCCGGUGGCCCGACUGGAACUAGAACCCAGUGUGCCGGUGCUGCAAGGUGGAGGAUUAGCCUAGUGAGCCGCGGCGCUGGUCUAAAUAAAAUUUUAAAAAAGAGUUGAAAUGCUGGGCUGCAUGUUAAUUCUAGGUUUACCUCAUUGAAGAGCCAUCAGUCUGGUUUUCACAGUGGUUGCAACAUUUGCAUUCCUAACAAUGUACAAGAAUUCCAAUUUCUUCUUGACAUCCUCACCAACACUUGGGUUCUGUUUUGGCAUUUCUUUUUUCUUUUAAACUUAUUACUGUACUUACUUUAGUGAGUGUGAAGUGGUAUUGUGGCUGAUUAUGGCUCUGAUUUUCACGGAUUUGUAUUUUAAAACAUCUUCUUGACAUUGUAUUUUCUUCAAGGUUCGCAUGACCUAUAGCAAAAGCUAUGUCUUAGGAGAUUUUUGAAGAUCCAGAUAUAUGCAGAGUUACCGUUAGGGGAGUGAUUUUAACUAGAAUAUUGCAUAUCCAUGAAAAUGUAGGGAAGAAGCUUUUCUUUUUCUAGAAGGUAUAACAGAGCUCUGAAACAAUCAUGGAUGAAUUGUUCAGAAGUUACAGACUUGUCCAGUGAUCUGAGUACCACCCUUUGCUCAUAGGGUUAUUAUUGUAGGUGAGGUAACUGAGAUGACCACAAAGUUCAGAUUGGACUAACCUUGUUGCUAUUCCCCUUGUUACACUGCCAAUGCUAGAAAGUGGAAAAGAGCUCAAAAUCAGGAAUCCCCAAAACUAGUUUUUUUCCCCCCCAGUAGAAAGUAAGUAAUUGUCCUUCCCUGGCAGAAAGGAAGCCCUAAUCCUCAUUGAAUUUCUUGUUGGAUGAUGUGUGAUUGAUAUAGUAUCUGUCUUGUCAGUCUUCCCCAAAGAAGAGAGUCAAAAAAUGCUCAAAUGACAAAGUUGAGGUAAGAAGUGGUCUUAGGCAAGUAAGAAUGAAGUAGGAGAGAAGUGAUGGGGGCAGGUGGGGCAGCAAAAGCAAGGUAGAAAAUAACUGUGCUACCAAAUCACAGCAAGGAAGCCCGCUUCACAUGCAGUAGCCCCCAUCCCAUGAAGACUCAGAAGAGGCUGAGGAAAAUCAUGUCUCAGACAUUUUUUCAGAAGUAAGCAAAAGAAUCAUAUCUGCUGGCUCUCUCCCUGCCCUCGUCACCUUAGACACAUUUCACUGCACAGGGAAUUACCCCUCCUACAUAAAUGGGCUUUGUUUUUUGAUGGUUUUAUCUGAUUGCUUUGGUUGCCACUGGAAAACAUUUGUAGUUGGGUAUUUUGUCCAAAUUUAGAAGUGAUACUUCAGAUCCACGCCUGCUCCACUCAGCUGGCUGAGUCCUGGGUACUCAGCCCAUGCAGAGCAAGGUGAGGAAGGCAAAUGAGACUGAGAAACUCUGAAGGGGCACAUCAGGUGUGACUACAGAAUUGGUGGUUACAUUUAUACCUUGCAGGUUGUCUUAGCAAUAUUCGUAAUGGAUUUUCUAGCUAAUUAAACAUGUUUUAUCAUUUACAUGUUGUUGGUUAAUUCAAACAUUCCAAAAUCAAUGGUGACAAAACAUUAAGAUAAAAUUGAGGCCGGCGCCUGCGGCUCACUAGGCUAAUCCUCCGCCUUGCAGUGCCAGCACACCGGGUUCUAGUCCCAGUCGGGCCACCGGAUUCUGUCCCGGUUGCCCCUCUUCCAGGCCAGCUCUCUGCUGUGGCCCGGGAAGGCAGUGGAGGAUGGCCCAAGUGCUUGGGCCCUGCACCCAGUGGGAGACCAGGAUAAGUACUUGGCCCCUGGUAUUGGAUCAGCGCGGUGCGCCGGCCGCGGUGGCCAUUGGAGGGUGAACCAAUGGCAAAGGAAGACCUUUCUCUCUGUCUCUCUCUCUCUCUCACUGUCCACUCUGUCAAAAAAAAAAAAAGAUAAAAUUAAUCUCUCUGUAAUAUGUAUAAUGCAAUACUGCAUUAAAUGUUUUGAUUAUUUUAGGAAGUUUAAAACUGUUUCCCCUAACAAAACAUAAAAUUUAUCUCCUUUCUUGAUAUUCUAAACACUUGUAAUUUAAAUUCACUUAUCCAUUUUAUCAUAUGUGUGAAGGAAAUAAGUUUUUGAAGCUAUGGAUAAACCGAUGACAGAGAAAACCAGAAAAUCUUUAAGUUAAUUUUUUUUCAAAAGCAAAAGCUGGCUAUUUGAAAAGACAUUGCGAAAGACAAACUUUUUACAAAUUUGCCAAAAAAUUAAAAAUAUGAAAAUAAGUAAAAUAUUUGACAAGAUAGAAAAUCAGCAAAGAUAUGAAAAACAUCCAAAAUUUAUAGACAAAUGUAAGGAACUGUUAAAUACCAGUAAGUUGAAAUCCUGAUAUUUUGCAAUAUGCAUACUCUAAAAUGGACAUAGAAGUGGAAAAUCUGUGCAGAAUAAUUACUACUUUAUUCGUCCUACUAAAAAUGUGGUUUUUAUAGAUGAGUUCUACACAACUUUCAAGGGAUAUUGGUGUAUUCAACAGAAUUUAUUUCUCAAAGCAGACAAGAAAACAGGAUUUACAUGUCAGUUUUCAAAAUGAGUGUACCUGUUGAUAACUGAUUAGUCAGAGUUUCAGUCAGAAGCAGCCAGCUCCUUCACACUGGGGGAUGUAGGAGACUUUAACGAAGGGACUCUUCACAGUGGUAUGAGUUGGCAUUAAUAAAAUCAAAAUGGAAGCUUUGUUCCCAGGUUUAUAACAGAAGAACAAACGUCUGUCUUUUUCAAGGAUGGGAAACAUUAGGCCCACGGGCCAUAUCAGUCCCACAAAAAUCAUUUGGUCUGCCCCUGCCGAGGCAACUGCAGGCUGGGCUCAAAAUUCAGUAAAUUAAUAGCAGGCUAAUUUUUAAGUUGAAAUUUUUUUAUGGCUCACGAAUUGUGUUAUAAAUAUACAAAUGGCCCUUGGCACAUAAAAAGCUCCCCACCCUUGAAAGGACACUUUGAGGAAAUUAUUGACAAAAUCCAGAGUGCAGCUGAAACCCCUGGUAGAGGGAUGCAUUGAACCCCACAAUCUAACAGAAAGGGAAUUGGAGGGAGUCAACAUUCAGACCUCACUCAUCUCCCGUCCUUAAAUCCCUGGUCAUAAGGAGAUCACUGAAACUUACCAGAGGCUAGAGGGCAAAGGAGCCCUUUAGUGGAAUCCAUGUAGUCAUCAGCCAAGACACAGAGCAGGAGGAAGAAUAAUAGAGAGUACAUUUGGAAAGGUAAAUGAAACAAUAUCCAGUAUAAUACCAUAACAAGAUGAAAAUACAAUGGCAAGUGAAUGUACAAAUAUAAACCAAUUUCUCCUUUGAACAUAGGUUAAAAUUUCCUAAUUACUAAUUGUCUAACAAAAUGAUUGGCAUGUUUUUAAAACACACCAUGAAUUAAAGAGGAUUUAUUUCAGGAAUGGAAAGACAGUCAAUAUCAGAUAAUGUAAUAACAAUUUAUCACACUAAUAAUUUGUAGGGGAAACCUCAUGUGAUCACCUCAACAUAAUCAGAAAAAUACACAGAAUGGUGAUGUAUAAUGUCCAUUUGAAAUUUUUUAAAAUGUCUUUAAAAACUAAGAAUUAAUCAUACAAACAUUAUCUUUCCUCAGCCCUAUUCCCAAUUACAAGAUAAGCAAAAUAACAAACACCAAUAUUUAAUGAAGAAAUUUUGGAAGCAGCCUUUUAAUCUUAAGAAUUAUGCAGAUGUUCUAAUAUACUUGUAUUGUUUAAAAUAGCACUGAAAAUUCUAUCCAAUUACAUACAAAAAGAAAAGCAAGAAUGUUGAUAAGACGAAAAAAAUAAGCAUUCAGUGCUUGUAAUUAAUUAAUCAUUUACAAAAAAUCCCAUAUAAUCAGCAGAAAAACUAUUAGAACUAUUAAGCCAUUGCAGCAAGAUCUAUAUGCAAAAAUCAAUAGCACUUUUUGUAAUAGCAUUAAACAUUUAGAAAUUGAAGUAACAAAUAGGCUACUAUUUACAAUCACAAUGAAAACUGUGAAGCUACUAGAAAUUACUCUAUUCUUGAAGAAAAGACUAUUAGAAUCUUUCCCCAAUAUCUUGUCUUCUUUCAUCUUAACGUCUAGUUUACCAUCCUCUAAAAUACUUCCCAAACCUAUCCACUUCACUUCCACUACUAACACUGUUGAAGCAACCAUCAUAUCUAAGAUUUCUACUCAACCUAGUAAUUAUGGAAAAAAUUAAUAGAUAAUUGACAGGUUGGGAGAUAAUAUUAGCAGCAUAAAAAUAAACUUUUAACUUUUGAAUAGUUUUAUACUUACCAAAAAUUUGCAGAGUACAGAGUUUCUAUAUGCUCAAUUCUCCCUAUUGUCAAAAUCUUACAUUCAUCUAGUUAAUUUACUAUAACUAAUGAAUCUAUAUGAUAUAAUAUUAUUAACUAAGUUCUAAACUUGACUUAUAUUUCCUUGGUUUUCAUUUACUGCUGUUUUUCUGAUUCAUCCAUGAUAGCCUCUUACAUUUAGUUAUCAUGUCUCUUUAGGAUGCUGGAGUCUGUGAUAGAUUUUUGCUAACUUGAAAAGUUUUGCUGAAUACCAGUUAUUUGUAAAAUGUUCCUCAGUAUAGGCUUAGCUGAUGUGUUCAUAUGAUUAGUUGGGGGUUAUGGUUUUUAGAGGGGAUGAUCACAGAAGCAAAGUGCUAGUCUGAUGACAUCACAGGUACAUUUUAUCCACAUGGCUUAUCACUCUUUAUAUUAAAUCUGAUUACCUACCGAUACAGCAUUUUUCAGAUUCUAACACUGUAAAGUAAUUUCUGCCUCCCUCACCACACACACCUUUCCAAACUAUACUCAAAGUCAAUCAUGGGCUGAUCAGAUUUAAGAGUUGAUUGGUGUUAUACUAAUCUCCUGAAGGGGGCAGUAUUUAAACAAAUUAUUUGAAAGUUUGCACAGAUUUGUCUAUUUUCCCUGUUCAUUUAUGUUUCAAUCAUUUAGGUAUAUUAGUAUAUACUCAUGGAUAACUACACUUUGGGCUGUUGAAAGCUUUUGGUUUGCUCCUGUACUGCUUUGACAUUCUCAAAUUGUUCUAUUUUUAGGCAAUUCCUUGGUUUUGGUACUAUUUGAAACAUCUUUAACUGGCAAGUCUAACAAUUUAGAUUAUAGAGGACCAGGCCCAUUGCUGUGGCACAGCAGGUGAAUGACCUGGCCUGAAGCACCGGCAUCCCAUAUGGGCGCCAGCUGCUUCUCUUCUGAUCCGGCUCUCUGCUAUGGCCUGAGAUAGCAAUAGAAGUGGUCCAAGUCCUUGGGCCCUUGCACCCACGUGGGAGACCCAGAGGAAGCUCCCGGCUCCUGGCUCCUGGCUUGGAUCGGUGCAGCUCUGGCCUGUUGCGGCCAAUUGGGGGAGUGAACCAUGGGAUGGAAGACCUCUCUCUCUCUCUCUGCCUCUCCUCUCUCUGUGUGUAAUUCUGACUUUCAAAUAAAUAAAUUAAUUAAAAUGUAUUUAAUUAAUAUAUUUAAUUAAUACCCACAAUAUAAAAAGUGGGUAAAAGUUUAAAACAGGAAAUAUAAAGAAGGAAAAAAACCCAAUAGCUAAUAAGUAUUAAUAACACUCUCAAUUAAUUCAUAAAAAAGUGUAAAUAAAAACAUAUCAAUAACACUUUAUCCCAUAAAUUGGUAACAUGAUUUGUAUUGGAAGUAUCAAUGGUUCUUUAAAAUGGCAAGAGGGCCGGCGCCAUGGCUCACUUGGUUAAUCCUCCGCCUGUGGCACCGGCGGCAGCCCAUAUGGGUGCUGGGUUCUAGUCCCGGUUGCUCCUCUUCCAGUCCAGCUCUCUGUUGUGGCCCAGGAGGGCACUGGAGGAUGGCCCAAGUGCUUGGGCCCUGCACCCACAUGGGAGACCAGGAAGAAGCACCUGGCUCCUGGCUUUGGAUCAGCGUAGCUCCGGCUGUAGUGGCCAUUUGGGGGGUGAACCAACGGAAGGAAGACCUUUCUUUCUCUCUCUCACUGUCUAACUCUAUCUGUCAAAAUAAAUAAAUAAAUAAAUAAAAUGGCAAGAAAUUGGGUUCUUGUGAUAUUUGAGAGUGGGCAUUAAUGAAAGCAUUUUACAGAGCAAAUUAUUUUAGCAAAAUUAAGUAAAUGCCUAGUCACUCUGAGACAUACAAGGGUACUUCAACAAAUUUGUGGAAAUGAAAUUAAAAGAUAAGUAAAGAUUUUGAAAUCCAUGCAUAAUUUUUCCAUAAUACACAUUUUCCAUAAACUUUUCAAAUUUCAUGAACUCUCAAAUAUAUAGAUACUUAUGAAGAUUUUUAUUUUGGUAGUAAAAUAUGAAUAAAAAAUUGGAGGCAACAUAUAUAUAAAUGAUUCUCUCUAUAUAUACAUUUAACAUAUAUAAAUGGGUGAAUAACAUGUAGUCAGGCAUAUCAUAGUUUAUUCAGAAGAACAAAUCCUAGCUUAACAUGUAACAAGAGAUACAAUGUCAAAUGAGAAAACAGCAGAAGCUAUUUAUAUAAUAGUAAAUUAGAUAUGAAAACCAAAACUAAUUUACAUAUAUGCAUUAAAUAAAUGCAUACAAUGUGAUCUCUAGGGUAUGCACUAAAUACACACCAGCAUUUAAGGAGUAGAUGGAGAAGACAAACAAAUAAUAAUACACUUAAAAUAUGUGAAUUAAAACCUAUUGAUGCUUUGCUGUAAACGGGGAAGUAAGAUCAACUCAGUUCUUGCUGGUCAAAAAAAUCUCACAAUGCUACCUCAUCAAGGUGCAACAAUAAACACCAUGAGCAUCAGCAGCAACUUCGAAAGAUAUAAAUAAAAUUAUUUCUUAUGUGAAGUCAUAUAUCGAUAUGGUAAUAUUUAAGUGAAUGAUAGUCAUAAUCAUUUAAUAAAUGAACAAAUAUUUUUGAGUUUUAAAAGUUUUGAGGGCCGGCGCCGCGGCUCACUAGGCUAAUCCUCCGCCUAGCGGCGCCGGCACACCGGGUUCUAGUCCCGGUCGGGGCGCCGGAUUCUGUCCCGGUUGCCCCUCUUCCAGGCCAGCCCUCUGCUGUGGCCAGGGAGUGCAGUGGAGGAUGGCCCAGGUGCUUGGGCCCUGCACCCCAUGGGAGACCAGGAAAAGCACCUGGCUCCUGGCUCCUGCCAUCGGAUCAGCGCGGUGCGCCGGCCGCAGCGCGCCGGCCGCGGCAGCCAUUGGAGGGUAAACCAACGGCAAAGGAAGACCUUUCUCUCUGUCUCUCUCUCUCACUGUCCACUCUGCCUGUCAAAAAAAAAAAAAAAAAAAAAAAAAAAAAAAAAAAAAAAAAAAGUUUUGUGGUGGGCUCAGUUAAGGAAUAAAAAAUGUCUAACUAAAGCAAAUUUGGGAGGUUUUGAAAUAAUUUUAUUACAUUAGUAUGAAAAUUUAUGUGUAAUACAAGAGCACUUCUAGAACUUGCAUUACCAAAAUAUUAUUUCCAUGGUGUUUCUUGUUGUUGCUGGUUUUUUAAAAUUUAUUUUUUAAAUACCGGAUUUCAAAAUAUCAGAGAAAACCUAUUAUGAAUAAUUCAUCUGGUUUCUAAGACUUGAUUGCCUUUUAAAAUAUAAUUUGGUAUCAUUUAUAUCAUUCUUGUCCAUGAAGAAUGGUUUGGAAAGCAAUUUUUAUAGAUAUUACUGAAAUUUGAAACUACACUCCCUUUUCAUUUUACUUCUCUGUGAAAAUUAUCAGAUUCAACAUUAUUGUAGGUUCAAAGCCAUUAUUAAUUCAUGAUUGCCAUGUAGCUUUUUAAAAGAGUUCUCCUUGAAUGUAUCAGCUCUACUAUUUAUUCUUAUAAGAAAGUCAAGAAACAAACCCAAAAUUUACUCAAUAUUGGUUUUAUUUUAUAACAUAUAUCAUUCUUGCAGUGUAACUUUAAAUUUUAUUUGAACAUAAAAUAUAAUUCUUAAUGUGGUUUAUGACUCUAUGCGUUUUCAUGCAACAGUAUAUACUGGUGCUCUCUCCAUAGUUGCAUAUAAAGAUACUCUUCGUUGCUUUGCACAGCCACAGCUUAAAUCUGUUGUGUGGAUGUGCUGUUGUUUAUUCAACCAGGCCCUAAAGAAUGAACAUUUAGAAAGAAGAAAUGGAUCAAGAUCCCUUUUCCAGGGAUCUUCCAGCUUCCAGGCGUUAGAACUCCCUUUUCUAUUGUGUUGUGAAGUUGAAAAAUGUGGCCUAGAGGUAUUCUAGUUUGUGGCCCUUUUUGUGUAUUUAUAUUUACUGCCUCUGUUCUAAUGUUGGAUUCUGUUCCAAAAUGAACCUCCUUUGAUCCAGUGGAUUUAGUUAGUAACCCAGCCCCUUCAGAGCUCACUGCAGGCCUCUUGCACUUACUGUAGCCAGGAGAACCUAGAACACCUUGCUGGUUGCAGCUAUUCUCCUGUGGCUUCUUGCUCUUUCCAAGGAGUACCUGUUAGGCUUCAGGGUUUUUCACAUUCUCAAGUCUGUGAGAAGUCCCAUUACCACCCUCUAACACAAAUGUUGAUUCUACACAGGUUAUGCAGUAGUAGAGCUUGUCCCCAGUUUUAUUUUAUUUUUUAAAUAUUUAUUUAUUUGAAUGACAGAGUGGCAGAGAGAGGGAGAGAGAAAGAAAUGUAUCUGCUGGUUCAUUCCCCAGAUUCCCUCCAUAGCCAGGUCAAUCCAGGACUUAGGAGCUCCAUCCUGAUCUCCCCCAUAGGUGAUAGGGAUUCAAGUACUUGAGCCAUUAUCUGCUACUUCCCAGACACAUUAGCAAAUAGGCAUAUGGGAAGUGGAGCAGCUGAGACUUGAACUGGCACUCUAAUAUGGGAUGUGAGGUUAUCAAGUGGCAGCUUAAUUCUCUGUAUCACAAUUUCUGUCCCCAUAACCAGCUGUAGCCCAUUAAAUGUUGAUAGAUUCAGAAAAAAAAAAAAAAUUUUAAAUUAAAUUUGGAUUUUAGUGAACAAUCUAUAAUUUGAAAUGGAAGAAGGGAGAGAAGGGAGAAAGGGGGAUAGGAAGGGAGGGAAAGGGAGAGGGAGAAGGGGAGAGAGUGGGAGGGGGGCUGACUGCUGGUUCACUUGCCAAAUACCUGCAGAUCUGGGCCUUCCUGAAGAGAAGUCAGGAUCUCAGUUCAGGUCUCCUACAUGGGUGAUGGGGACUCAACUACGUGAGCCAUCAUCUGCUGCCUCCCAGGGUGUUCUUUAGUCAAAAGUUGGAAUCAGGAGAGGAGCCAGGAUUUGAACUCAGGUACUCUGAUAGGGGAUUGCAGGUAUCCCAAGUGGCCAUCUUAACGACUAUACCAAACACCUGCCCCUAUAGUAUAUAAUGUAAGCAUGCACCAUGUAAUAUUUGCUAUACACCUAAACUACAUAGUUACCUAAGUUUAACUAAAUGUCUUACAUUUUAUCUAACAAAUAUUUUAUUUAUUUUUGUAUAUAAAUGGUAUUUGUGGUGGUCUUAUUUUAUGAUUUUAGUCAUAUUUAUUUUUAUGGAUAGAUUUGUUUUAUACAUAGAUUAUUCAUAGCUGUGAUUAGGAAGAUUCAAAAGCAAUACUACUACUAUUGCUGCCAAUACGGAAUUUCUGCUUUUAUUUCAAUUCUAACUACUAAAUGAUUGUUUUAAAUUAUUCUUUUUUAUUUGAAUAUAUAAUAACAUUAGGUGUAAUUUCUAGAAAGAUACUUCUCGAGGCUGGCGCCGUGGCUCACUUGGUUAAUCCUCUGCCUGCGGCGCCAGCAUCCCAUUUGGGUACCAGGUUCUAGUCCCGGUUGCUCCUCUUCCAGUCCAGCUCUCUGCUGUGGCCCGGGAAGGCAGUGGAGGAUGGCCCAAGUGCUUGGGACCUGGACCUGCAUGGGAGGCCAGGAGGAAGCACCUGGCUCCUGGCUUUGGAUCGGCAGAGCUCCGGCCAUAGCGGCCAUUUGGGGGGUGAACCAACGGAAGGAAGAUGUUUCUCUCUCUCUCACUGUCUAACUCUAUCUGUCAAAUAAAUAAAAAAAGAUACUUCUCUAUUUUACCUUUCUAUAAAUGUCCGGAGAUAUUUGAAAGCUACACAUUCAUCUAGAUAUGUUUCAUUUUUGUAUGGUGGAGAUACUGAUUUGGUUGGUGGUAAAGUAUAUUGAGAGGUCAUUGUUUCUACAGUAAAAUACAGUUGUUUGAAGUGAUAGUCCAGUUCAAUAAAUCAUAUAAUGCUUUAAAGGAAGACACAAUUAUGACCUUCAAAAGAAAGGAUGAUCUUAACAUUUAAAAGAGAACAAAACAUCUUUUUUAGUGGGAAAGAACAAGAUUCCACCUAUAUUAAGCAGCACUAAUUAUCUGUUCAUAAAUGUUACAUAAAUUAUCUGUUCAUAAAUGCAAAAAACAAAGAGAAGAAGAUAAAAACAUUUUCAACUUGUAAGAGGAGAAAGGGCUUAAGAGAGCUGACCUAAGAAGCAACAUAUUUGUUGUUUAACAGAUAUGAAAAUGGGGAGGGUUUUUAAAGGUCAUGCCACAUUCUUGGGAUAUCAAUGGACAAAUACAAACAUACAUGUACACACACACACACACACAAGAAUAUGCAGACCAACAAAAAUAAAGUGUCAAAAUUUCCUUGGUGAAAGGAAAUUUUUAAGCUAACAUCUAGACUAAGAAAUAAAUAAGUUAAAUUAAAAUCAUUUUCCAUGUUUAGGUAUUAAGAAUGAUCUCAAUUCAGAAAAAUUAAUACUACAAAAAGACAUUUCUAUCUCACAGAUGUAGGCAAUAUAAACACAUACCACAAAAUUACAUACAAAAAGGGCAUCAAAGCAAGAAGAGAAAAUGUACUGAGAAGACUUUAUAUUAAGUGGUAUCUGUAGUAGAGAGAAAUUAUUUAUUUAGAGUGGAACACAGUAUGAUUCUAAUAUCUUUGAAAUGUUGAAGGAAGAGAACGGGGGUAGAAAUCAGAACUGUAAUAUAAAAUUUUAAUGAAGAAGAACGAAUCUAAAAUAAUUAACAUGUAUCUCUACUAACCCUCAGCUCAGAAUGUGCUCCACAACCAUAGGAGGUAACACAAUAGAUGAAAAAAGAAGGCCCUUGUAGGUAACUGUGACCCUUACACUUGUUCUUUCUAAUAGUUUAUACACAAGGAAACAAGCCACGUAAAUAACAUGUACUAUCCAUAGCAUUUUUAAUGUAAUAUAAACACAGUUACAAUUGAACAACUGUAACUACAAGAGAGAAUGCUAGAAAAAUAUUUUCUCAAAUAGUUAAUAGUACUUCUUGUUCAGUUUUGCUGUUGGUAUUUUCAAGUCUUUUGAAAGUUCUCAUCUUAUUUUCAGAUUAAGAUAAAAAUAAAUUAUUUCAAGCAUUUCUUUUAGUAUGGGGUGGGUUUGUGCACACACAAGUACAUAUUUAGAGAUUCUCUUUUUUAAAAAUUUUUUUUAAUUUAUUUUUUCACAGGCAGAGUUAGACAGUGAGAGAGAGAGAGAGAGAGAGAGACGGAAAGAAAGGUCUUCCUUUUGUUGGUUCACCCCCCAAAAUGGCCGCUACGGCUGGUGCGCUGCGUCCAUCCGAAGCCAGGAGCCAGGUGCUUCCUCCUGGUCUCCCAUGCAGGUGCAGGGCCCAAGCACCUGGGCCAUCCUCCACUGCCUUUCCGGGCCACAGCAGAGAGCUAGACUGGAAGAGGAACUAUCGGGACAGAACCAGUGCCCCAACUGGGACUAGAACCCGGGGUGCCGGCACCGCAGGUGGAAGAUUAGCCCAGUGAGCCUUGGCACUGGCCAUAUUUAGAGAUUCUUAUUGAAGUCUUGCUCUUAUUAUGUUGCAUUGCCAAAGAUGCUAUCCAAAGAGAAAAGACAUCAAAUGAUCAAAAAAAAAAAAAAAUCAUGCCCCACCAAGAGUAGAAAAUGGACGUGUAGUGACAUAAAAAACCAUUUUGGUUUUUUAGAAAUCUUUUAUUUGAUAAGUACAAAUUUCAUAGGUACAGCUUUAGAAAUAUAGUGGUUCUUCCCUCCAUACCAGCUUUCCCACUCCCCGCUCCUACUCCCACCUCCCAUCCUAUUCUUCAUUAAGAUUCAUUUUUAAUUAUCUUUAUAUAGAAGACCAACUCUAUACUAAGUAAUGACUUCAACAUUUUGCACCUAUACAGACACACAAAGUAUAAAGUACUGUUUGAAGACAAGUUUUACCAUUCAUUCUCAUAAUAGUACAACUCAUUGAGGACAGCAGACCUACAUGGGGAGUAAGUGCACAGUGACUCCUGUUGCUGAUUCAACAAUUGACAUUCUUAUUUAUGACAUCAGUGAUCACCCGAGUCUCUUGUCAUGAGCUGCCAAGUCUUCUGAGUCCACAAACUGUCAGUAUUUAGACAGGGCCAUAAGCAAAGUGGAAGUUCUCUCCUCCCUUCAGAGAAAAAUAUUCUUUUUUUUUUUUAAGGUUUAUUUAUUUAUUUGAAAGUCAGAGUUACACAGAGAGAGGAGAGGAAGUGAGACAGAGAGAGAGAGGUAUUCCAUCCCAUGGUUUACUCCCCAAUUGGUCGCAAUGGCUGGAGCUGUGCCGAUCCGAACCCAGGAGCCAGGAGCUUCUUCCAGUUCUCCCACAAGGGUGCAGGGGCCCAAGGACUGGGGCCAUCUUCUACUGCUUUCCCAGGCCAUAGCAGAGAGCUGGAUUGGAAGUGGAGCAGCCGGGACAAGAACCUAGCACCCCUUUGGGAUGCCAGCACUUCAGGCCAGGGUGUUAACCCGCUGCACCACAGUGCCUGCCCUGAGAAAAGUACAUUCUUCCUUGAUUGCCCCUACCUUCCACUGAGGCAAGAGUACAACAAUUUUCAGCGAGUUCCAAGCCUUUUUAACAAUCACUGAAGCUGAAGGUGGUCUUUUGGAACUUGAACUUGCAACUGGUAUCAGAGGUGCACUCCUCGGCUUUCAGGCUGCUCCUUCUGCCCAGAAUGCUGAUCCACAUGAAAUAAAGAAUGAGCUUCUUGGCUCUCUGGUUUUGGUUCGAGUUUAAGUAAGUGAUGGCAAAUAAAAUAAAAUAGAGUAAAAUAGGAGGAUAAUAAGAUUGAAGCAUUUAUUUUUCCUUGGCUUUUCUUGCCGGGUUUCUUUGGAUUAAUUCCCCCUGCCAAAGGCUAUAGCCCCUUCAAAGCGCUCUCUCCAUAUGAUUUUUAACUCUGAGGUUUUAGUAAUUGCUUCCUCCCCUUGACUUUCAGACUGAAGCAUGACAAUAACCUUCUGCUCUGGACAGUCCAAGUGUUUAUUCUGUUGCAUUUCUUAAGGUUAAUACACAUCAAGUCUUGUCAAUUAUGCAGCAGGAGCAUAGGCCAUCAUUUCCCUGCCUAGAUCUGUCUGAUGCAAUGUCUAUAGUGUUCCUUGAGAAACAGGAUUAAAUGAGAAAAUAUAGGUUGGAAGGAUUGAACAGAAAAUAAUUAAUUCAUUAUGAACUUUACUAUAUUUUCCUUUCAUUGAUAAAAGAUGCAAUUUACAGUUUGUCUUUCUCAUAUUAUUUUCCCUAAAGUGUAUAAAGUACAUUUGAUAUGUUAUGUCAUUAAUCCUGGCCAAGUUAUGUCAUACAUAAGACAAAUUAUCAGCUACAGGCAGGAUAUAAACUCAGGAAAGAUAUGACACAGGAAGCAGAAACCAGCAUCUUAUUUUAAGGGGAUCAAGAUUUUCACUAAGAUACAGGAUUUUAAAUAUCAAUACAAGAAAAAUAACAACAAUCAAGGAAAAGAACUUAAACCAGGGAGUAGACUCAAGGUUCAAGAUAAAUAGGACAGCCAGGGGAAUGCUGCUCAAACCUGAGGUUCUGCAUUGUUUUUAAGGUGAGUUUGGUGCUUGUCACAUAAAAGCAAUGCAUAAAUAUUUAUUGAAAGAAUUGGAAAUGACAUAAUGAAUAAAUGUCAGACUAGAAGGCAUUUACUGCUCUUCUAUUAAGGAUCCUUAUCUAGCUGUCAGAUCUUGAUGUGUGCUGUGUGAGGAUUUAAGAUACUGAAAGAAAAGAAUUCACAGUUAUUUACCAUGUAAUAUGUGCUGGCCUCAAUGUGGGCAUAUUUAAUUCUCAAUAGGAUUCAAGUAUGUGAAUAUUAAAUUUUAUUUUUUACAUGAUGAUAUGGAAGCUCUCAUUGAGCACAUUAAAUAGUACAAAGUGGAAAAUCCAGAAGGUGGACUGACUUUUCAAAAUGCCAGACGUAUCUUAGGUUUAUAUCAUGUGCAUGGCUAAAAGGGAAAUCUAGUUAUUCUGACACCUAGACUAUAGUACACAUUUCCAGGUGUGACUGAUCUCAUGUGGGCAGGAAAUGUAGUGCAAUAAGAAAAAUAGUACUUGAUUUCAUCUUAUUCCUUUACUUUUAAAUGCUUUUCCCUUUAGGGGUCAAAUUUCAACAGUAAUACUUUACUUGAAGGAAUUUCAUAUAGAAAACUAAACAAACAGGAGAUCAUUUGACUCCAAACCUUACAGAAGGAUAGUUGGGAUAAAUUUACUGGGCUCUUUGGCAAUAUUCUUUUUAGUCUUAAUCUGUUCAAGGGAGAGUAGUUCUUCCUUGUCAAGGGUAAACUCAUCAAUUGUCUUGAUCCCAUCUUUCUUUAGGGUUUGUUCCACUAAAGAGCCUUUCCAGGCUGCUUCCUCUCACCAUGCAAGAAGCCUUAUGUUUCCUGUGCUCAAUGUCUUUAUUUUAACCCCAAUAGUGUAUUUUCAAUUAUUCUUGUCACAACCAAACUUUGUGAAAGGCUGCUGCCUCUACUCUUUCUCUUCACCAUGUCUCUAUCCCUUACAAAUAUAUAUUUACCCAUCAAAGUAAUAGAAACAUGGAUUCAAAUCCAAAUCCAAAGUUUAAUCAUUAUUAGCUGCAUUAUCUUAAUAUGCAUUAAUUUCUAUUAUGUAUUUUUAUUAUGUAUUUUCUAAAACAGGAAUAAUGUUAUCAACAUCCCCAUAGAACUACUUUCAAACAGUUGUAAAUUUAUGUAUUUUUUUAUCUAAAUUAGUAAAUUUAGAUAAAAUUGGUAAACUGGUAAAUCUGAAUUGGUAAAUCUGAAUUGGUAAAUCUGCUAUCAUUAAUUUAUUAUUAAUGCAUAUCAGAUAUACUUUUGAGAUACUGUCAAUUAUUUUAUACUUCAACUGCCAUACAUAUAUGUAUGUGUGUAUAUAUGUAUGUACGUAUGUAUGUAUAAAUAUUUAACUGAGCAAUUUGCUUUCCCAAAUUGAUUGGUGACUUCUUUUUUCUUCUGGAUUAUUUUUUGCUUUGUCUUGGAUGCUUAUAAGAUACAUAAACCCAAUUCGGAUCAGACAUAAUAAAGUAGGAAACUAUGAAUUGUGUCAUUAUAUGUUCUACCACCUUCACAAGUUCCAAUUAUAUAUAUUUUCCCUGUACUGAUUAUUAUCUAUUUAUAAUUUUCUGUAAGCCAUCUUUCUGAAAUAAGUAUGAACAUGAACUGGUAGAAGAAUAGUUGAACAGAUGGAUGGAUAAAUAAAUAGGUGAAUGGAGAAACAGAACAGUGAGACAGCAUUGUUAAUAGCUAAACUUGGUUUUGUUUGUACAAUUUCAAUAUCAAACACUAUUCUCUGUCAUCCAAGUGUGGGGACCCAUGAGCCGGCCAUGGGUCCACAUGCUAAGGCUUAGCUUGCUGACCAUUGGCAAUAGUUACUGCUGUGUGGAUGUUUAUGGUUUCUGUUGAGCUGCGAUAUCGGACCGUUUCAUAACCCCAAGCUAGAGUCAAAACAACUAUGGCCUUGGGGCUUCCCGUACUUCUUUUCCUACUGACCAAGGCUGAGAAAACACCAGGUGGAAGCUUGUUGUUAGCACCCGAGUCGCCUGCUACAUGACCAGGAGCUUGAUUGGAUGAAGGCGCGUGAUCACCUUUAUGGUUGGACAAGGAGCGCAUGGACUGUGCGUGAUCAGGCACCCGAUUGGAGCGCCGCCGCAUGGACUGUAGCAUGGACUAAGCUUGCAUUACAUACUUCUGCAAUGAUAUACUAUAUAAGCUGUUUGUGAUAUAGUACGGGAGCUUCCCCUUUCUUUUGGAGCUCCCCUUGCUCAAGGGUUUCUCUUUCCAUCCUGUUUAAAUAAAAGUCUACUGAAGACCGAUCAGCUGGGAGCAGUGUCGUUCCUUUGCGGGCAAGGGAGCCACACCAAGUACACCAAAGUUAUGUCUAUGCAUUGAACCUACCUGUUACACCCAUGACUCAUCUAUUUUAGGAUCUUCUAAUCCUUCAACCAGAGGUUCUUUAUCUCUACUGGCCCUCACAUCUUUUUGUGUAUUCCUCUAUCAUGACAUUCACCAUACUCCUCUCUGUAA